GGCUGCCGAUAUGUGCGUAAGCGGUGCGUAGGCGGUUAUUUAGUCUGAUGUGAAAAUGCGGGCUCAACUCUGUUUGCGUUUGAAACUGGGUAACUUGAGUACUGGAGAGGGAAGCGGAAUUUCUAGUGUAGCGGUGAAAUUCGUAAAUUUUUGGAAGAAUGCCGAUGGGGAAGGCCGCUUUCUGGACAGAUACUGACGCUUAAGCGCGAAAGCCUGGGGAACCAACAGGAUUAAAUACCCCGGUAGUCCCCCCCGUAAACCAUGAUUACUAGGUGUUGGGGGUCAAACCUCAGCGCCCAACCCAACACAAUAAGUAAUCCCCCCGGGGGGUACGUACGCCCGUAUGAUACUCAAGG
rnacentral:rRNA from 1 species